UGGGUUUGGUAGUCACUUGAUGCUCCUUAGUCAUACAUUUAGCCUCUCCAGCACCCAGCAGCAAGGCAGGAGCUGUUCAAAUGGAGAAUAAUUGGCAGAAGACCAAACAGAAACAGUCUUACUCUAAAACCCUAGAGGACUUGUGCCUUCGGAUCCUGAUUUAUUAAGUGAGAAGUCCACUAUCCUGAAGCUGCUAUGCUGGAGAGACCAUGUGAAAAGAUCAUAUAGAAGUAGAAAGAUGCCCAAGAAGCCAUAUAUGCUUCUUUCUGUAGCUGUUUCAGUCUGCCCACCCAGGGAUCGGACAUGUUAGAGAAAGAGUCUUAAAGAUUAUCCCAACCCCAGCCACCAUGUGACUGCAACCUCAUGAAAACCCCACACCAGAACAGUGGUAUCAGCUCAAACUUUGCAAGGGCUAGGAGACUGAGGGCAGCUGACCAGAUUUAUGUGAUUGAGCCUAAUAAACUGGCCUGAGUAAGCUUCCCUGGUUGACAAUAUUCUGCGAGUAUUAUCACACACUGGAUGUCAGGAAAUUAACACUGUCCACAACUCAUGGAAAGGACAACUGGGAGUUCUGU
rnacentral:lncRNA from 10 species